rnacentral:rRNA from 1 species
AUUGAACGCUGGCGGCAGGCCUAACACAUGCAAGUCGAACGAGUGGCGGACGGGUGAGUAAUGUCUGGGAAACUGCGUGAUGGAGGGGGAUAACUACUGGAAACGGUAGCAAAUACCGCAUACUAUCGGUUGUGUCCAGAUGGGAUUAGCUAGUAGGUGGGGUAAAGGCUCACCUAGGCGACGCUCCCUAGCUGGUCUGAGAGGAUGACCAGCCAAACUGGAACUGAGACACGGUCCAGACUCCUACGGGAGGCAGCAGUAGGGAAGAUUGCACAAUGGGCGCAAGCCUGAUGCAGCCAGGCCGCGGGUAUGAAGAAGGCCUUCGGUUUGUAAAGUACUGUCAGCAGGGAGGCGUUACCCGCAGAGGAAGCACCGGCUAACUCCGUGCCCGCAGCCGCGGUAAUUC